GGAUCUAUGGCUAAAGGGUUAAAGCAGCAAUCUCAUAAAUUGUGUACUAUGAGUUCAAAUCUCAUUGGAUCCA
rnacentral:tRNA from 1 species